UACGAAGGGGGCUAGCGUUGCUCGGAAUCACUGGGCGUAAAGGGUGCGUAGGCGGGUCUUUAAGUCGGGGGUGAAAUCCUGGAGCUCAACUCCAGAACUGCCUCGAUACUGGAAGACUCGAGUCCGGGAGAGGUGAGUGGAACUGCGAGUGUAGAGGUGAAAUUCGUAGAUAUUCGCAAGAACACCAGUGGCGAAGGCGGCUCACUGGCCCGGUACUGACGCUGAGGUGCGAAAGCGUGGGGAGCAAACAGGG
rnacentral:rRNA from 1 species